rnacentral:rRNA from 1 species
AUUGAACGCUGGCGGCAGGCCUAACACAUGCAAGUCGAACGAGUGGCGGACGGGUGAGUAAUGUCUGGGAAACUGCCUGCUGGAGGGGGAUAACUACUGGAAACGGUAGCUACUACCGCCUACCAUCGGAUGUGCCCAGAUGGGAUUAGCUAGUGGGUGGGGUAAAGGCUCACCUGGGCGCCGAUCCCUAGCUGGUCUGAGAGGAUGACCAGCCACAGUGGAACUGAGACACGGUCCAGACUCCGACGGGAGGCAGCAGUGGGGAAUAUUGCACAAUGGGCGCAAGCCGGAUGCAGCCAUGCGGAGUGUAUGAAGAAGGCCUUCGGGGUGUAAAGUACUUUCAGCGGGGAGGCGGUACCCGAAGAAGAAGCACCGGCUAACUCCGUGCCAGCCGCCGCGGUAAUAC